AUGCGCCACCUCGUCGCGGCGGCGAAACCAUCCCGGCGGCGGCAUUUCUUCUUCUCCUUAUCCCCCUACCACCAACUCUCCACCACGACCACCAGCGGCACCAAUUCCUCCCAUCUCUGCUCCUUCUACGACCCCGCGGCGCAGUUUCUCCCCUCCGGCUCUCCCCGGCACCUCUCCCUCCCCACCUCCCUCCGCCGCGACUCUCUCCUCGACCUCGCGCGCAUCCUCAAGUCCUCCCUGCAAUGCCACCUAGCUCUCCGCACCCUCACCUCCCAGACCCCCCCGCUCCAUGCCCGCUUCGCCGCCGCCUCCCGCCUCGCCAUCUUGUCCCCGGCGCUGCGCCCCUUCGCAUCCCUCCUCCUCGCCGCCCUCCUACCGGCCGCCUCCCCGCAUCUCCUCGCCUGGUGCGCCUCCCCCGGCGGCGCCCCGUACGCGGCCCUCCGCCUCGCGCUCCACGCCUUUAUCGCCGCCGGCAUGCCGGCUGAGGCGCUCGUCGUGCUCUCACGCAUCCGCAGCGUUGGGAAAACGCCCAGCCUCUCCGCGCUCGCGACGCUGCUGCGCCUGCUGUUCCGCGAGGGCAACGUCCAGGCCGCGUGGAAGGUGUUCGUGGAAAUGACAGCGAUGGGGCCACGGCCGAGCCUCCCCAUCUUCAACGCCAUGAUCCUAGGGUUAUGCCACAUGGGGCUCAUCCCUGUAGCUGCGGGAUUGCUUGGUGUCAUGUGGAAGUUCCAUGUUACCCCUGAUGCGUGCAGCUAUAACAUCCUGAUCAAGGGACAUUGUGUGUUUGGGCAGGCAGGGGAUGCUUUUGAGCUGCUUGAAAAAAUGCACAAGUCAGGGUGCGAGCCGACUGUUGUGACGUAUAACAUUUUGGUGAAUGUACGGUGCCGUGAUGGGAAUGUGGUGGAGGCAAGGAGGCUGUUCGAUGAGAUGGUGGCGGUGGGGGUCGAAGCAAAUACAAUCACCUUCAAUGUUUUAAUCGAUGGGUAUGCAAAGACUGGGCAGAUGGAUGAGGCUGAUGCCGCCUACAGAGAGAUGAGGGAGAGGGGAUUGCUGCCAGAUUGCUACACCUUCAACAUUCUUUCUGCUGGAGCAUACAAGUUUGGAAAGACCGCGCACUUAGCACAUGAGCAGCAGGAGCUGUAUGAAAUGUUUGGUUCACAGAUAUCAGCAGACAAUGUAGAUAUGACGAUCUGUAGGCUUUGUUGGGAUGGACGAUUGGAUGAUGCCCGGCAACUUGUGUGUUGUGCAAUCGAGCAGGGUGCUCCAGUGAGUGUUGCAGGUUUUAAUGCUUUGAUUGCUGCAUAUAGCAAGGAGGGAUUUGAAGAAGCAGCUCUUGAGUUAUAUAAGCUUAUGAAAGAGAUAGGCCUUGCACCCUUAUCCUCCACUUUCAAUUACUUGAUACUGGGUCUAUGCAAUCAAGGAAGACUAGAUGAUGCACAGCUUUUGCUAGAACAUAUGAUUAGUAAGGGAUAUUCUGUUGGUACCUCAUUUACCGUUUACAUGGAUUCAUGCUUCAGGUCUGGUAAUGUAGAAGGUGCCUUGAAAUGCUGGGAUGAUAUGCUGAAAGUUGGUGGGCAGCCUGAUUUUAUCGCUUUCUCUGCAUAUAUCAGUGGCCUUUGCAGAUUAGAUCAUGUAAAUGAGGCUUAUCGGGCAUUUGUGGAGAUGACAAGAAGAGGUCUUGUUCCGAACAAUAUUACUUACAACUCUCUGAUAUCUGCGUUUGUUAGGGUUGGCCAUGUGGCCGAAGCACUGCAACUAGAGCAGAAGAUGAGGCAGAGUGGUCUUGUUCCUGAUGUUUUCACAAGCAACAUUCUGAUUGAUGGUUUUUGCAGACAAGGAAGGCUGGAUAUGGUGAAUAACCGUUUCUUGGACAUGCGCAGUAGUGGCUUAACUCCUGAUGUAGUGACAUACAAUACAAUUAUUAAUGCAUAUUGCCGGGCCCAGGAUAUGAACGGUGCCAUGAUUUUCAUGAACAAGAUGCUUGCAGAUGGCUGUGAUCCAGAUAUUUUCACAUAUAAUAUUUGGAUUCAUAGCCUCUGCAACAACCAUUCGAUGAAUCGAGCAGCGAGAGUGCUGGAUGAACUUGUUGCUGUUGGUUUCACACCUAAUUCAGUUACAUACAACACACUGAUGGAUGGCAUUUGCAAUGAUGUCCUUGAUCGAGCUAUGAUUCUCACUGGUAAACUGAUUAAGAUGGCUUUUCAACCCAACACCAUCACAGUUAAUGUUUUCUUUUCUCAUUUCUGUAAGCAAGGUCUUGGAAGGCGAGCCCUUUUGUGGGCUGAGAAGCUCAGAGAAGAUUCUGUUGCUUUUGAUGAAGCUACAAUGAAUAUACUUGACUGGGCUUCCAAGGAGAUGGAGGAUGACCUCCAGGGUAGAGUUGCUGAUAUUGACAAAUGUAUGUUUCUCGAGUUCUUAAUGCUCAUAACGUACAACACUAUGAGCAAUAGUAGAUCCCCAAAGUUUAGACAUGUGCCUGUUGAGACAGUUAUUGAUCCUGCCAACAGCAAUACAAUCAAAGUUUUAGAUACUGGGUAA
rnacentral:rRNA from 1 species